rnacentral:rRNA from 1 species
CGGGAGCCGGUAGUACAGGUGCUGCAUGGCUGUCGUCAGCUCGUGUUGUGAGAUGUUGGGUUAAGUCCCGCAACGAGCGCAACCCUUACUGCUAGUUGCCAUCAGGUAAUGCUGGGGACUCUAGCGGAACUGCCGGUGACAAACCGGAGGAAGGUGGGGAUGACGUCAAGUCCUCAUGGCCCUUAUGUCUUGGGCUACACACGUGCUACAAUGGGCUGUACAGAGGGUAGCAAGACCGCGAGGUGGAGCCAAUCCCAAAAAGCAGUCCUCAGUUCGGAUUGAAGUCUGCAACUCGACUUCAUGAAGUUGGAAUCGCUAGUAAUCGCAGAUCAGCACGCUGCGGUGAAUACGUUCCCGGGCCUU